GUGUCUGUAGCUCAGUGGGUAGAGCGUUUGUAUCCUAUGCAGAAGGUUGUAGGUUCGACCCCUACCUAACGCG
rnacentral:tRNA from 1 species